UUUUAAAUGGCUGCAGAAUUUUAACUGUACAAAGGUAGCAUAAUAAUUUGUUUUUUAAUUAAAAACUUGUAUGAAAGAUUUGAUGAAAUAUAAACUGUUUCAAUUAAAUUUUUAUUAAAUUUUUUAUUUAAGUAAAAAAACUUAAAUAAUUUUUAAAGACGAUAAGACCCUAUAGAAUUUUAUUUUUAAAUUUAUUAGAAAAUAUUUUAAAAAUUUUUUUGGGGCAAAAAAAAAAUUAAAUUAAUUUUUUUUAAAAAUUACAUUAUAAUUGAAUAAUUUAUUUUAAAAAUUUUAAAUUAAAAAAAUUAAUUACCUUAGGGA
rnacentral:rRNA from 1 species